rnacentral:rRNA from 1 species
GCUCCCUGCUCCGCGGCGGCCGAGGCGGCGCGGGAGCUGCGUGACGCGGUGGCGGCCCUCGCCGUGCGCCGCGCCGCCGACGAGGACGCGCUGCGGUGCCGCGCCGUCGCGCUGGACGCCGAUGUCCGCCGCCUACAUGGCUCCCUCGCCCCCCUGGACCCCGCCACGCUCGACAAGGUCCGCGCCCCUCCCCCCUUCACCCUCUCCCUCUCUCUCUGCCUGAUUCGAAACACGAUCCCGGUCGCCGCGGCCCUCACUCUGGCCAGCUCCCGAGGCUAG